rnacentral:rRNA from 1 species
AUACGGAGGGUGCGAGCGUUAAUCGGAAUUACUGGGCGUAAAGCGCGCGUAGGCGGUUAGAUAAGUCUGAUGUGAAAGCCCUGGGCUUAACCUGGGAAUGGCAUUGGAUACUGUUUGACUAGAGUGCGGGAGAGGAGAGUGGAAUUCUCGGUGUAGCGGUGAAAUGCGUAGAGAUCGGGAGGAACACCAGUGGCGAAGGCGGCUCUCUGGACUGACACUGACGCUGAGGUGCGAAAGCGCGGGUAGCAAACAGGAUUAGAUACCCCAGUAGUCC